CACUAUUCCAGCUCCAGGUACUCUGUGUGUACCCCUUUAGGACUGAGACGGCAUUAGAGGUGGCUAAUUUUCAAAAUCAACUCACACCACCAAGGGGUGAUGAUGUCCCAUCCCGAGAAACGUGGAGUCAGCAUGGACUCUGGAGUUUUUCUGGAAGACAGUGGGAUGAGAAGAAAUGUUCACAUUUCGGAAAAUAAUUCUGAGAGGAGAAAGGGUUAAGCAUCUUCUCUUCAGAGCAAAGCAUGAGGCCACCUCAGGGAGGGAGAACGCUAAGCCAUCCUGUUUAUCUCCACAGUCACGGCCAGAGGCAAAAUAACUUUUACACACAUGAUGAGCUUCAAAGGAGGGAAGGAUAAGAGCUGUACAGUGAAGUUGCCAAGGUAACAUCUUGCUGAACAGAAACGGAUGGCAGUCGAGUUUUAUGCUGACGCAGUGGGAGCACGAAACAUAAUCGCUCCCCAUCUUGUCUCUCUGGAAGAUCAGUGGGAGUAUGGAUGUGGAUGCCUGAGAAGAAGACAGAAGCAGGAAGCGAAUCCUUUUCCCAUUUGGAGAGACCCAGUGAGACCUACUCUACUAGCAACACAUGGCAGUCACACCAUUUAAUCUUUCUAUUUGCUAGCGAUGAAUCAAUGAACUAACUCUGAUAGCCGCUGCCCUGAGCUAGCAUCUGGGGAGCUUCAGAUGAGCUAUUUGAUAGCUGAAUUUUUAGACAAGGGGACUUAAAGCAUCUUUUUUUUAAAG
rnacentral:lncRNA from 1 species